rnacentral:lncRNA from 1 species
GCUUCCUGCAACCUGCAGUUAAAGGUCAACAACUGAUACUUUGAGUAGAGUUCCUGUUAGUGUGACUCAAUAGUAUAAGGACGUGUAUACUGGAGGGAAGCAAUACUAAAGAAAAUUAGCAUGGCUAUUACAAAGAAGUAUGGAAAUUAUCUAAUCCUACUUUGUUGGGCUGCAUACUGGCUGGAGGAAGUGACUUGGCAGAGAGAAGGAGCCCUGGGUCCGGUAUGGGAGACUGACGAGCACGGUUCUCUCACGCACUGAGUGACCGAAUGUGUGAGCGGUCACUGCUCCAGACUCCAUUGCUUCAUCUAGGGAAAAAGGAAAGAGAUGACUGGAACAGACAAUCACCAGCUUAAAAAAAUACCAAUUUGUGCGGACAGGAAGAAACUGAAUGAAUGUGCGUUGUAGACACGAGUGCAGUUACGGCAAGGACCCCGCUUUCUCAGACCCAUGAGGAUAGCAAGGCCUUCCCUGGUCCGAGUUUGGAUGUUGACAGAUCCUGCAAGGACAUUAUCUGCAAAAGUCAGCCUGACAGUGAUACCUUCCUAUGAGAAGAAAGACAACACCCAAAGGAGCUGCAACAGGAGCCCCAAGGAGUCAGACGUUAUCAGGUAGCAGGCAGACUUUGCUGCCAUUUACAAAAUCCUCCAAAUGUGUCAGGCUAGGGGUCAGAGGUCACAGCUGAGCCAGAACUGUACUAAGCUGUUUUAGAGUCGGCGUGAAAGGCAGAAGGUGUGCUGUGUGUUGUCUAACGCAUCGAAUGGCUGUGUGUACUUAAGAAUGGCUUUUGGUUUUAAUAUCGUUGAGUUUGAUUCCAUUAAAGCCAUGAAGGCAGAUUCUUAAUAAAUUAUGUUCUGGAUAUGAAUUAAAUACUUAAACAUGACAUGAUAUCAGUUAAGUAUUUUUAGUCUGCUUUAGAAAAGAAAAAUUCUAGGUACAUAAAAAUUUCAAACACAGGCCUUCUAAUAAACAUUUUAAAAACA